rnacentral:rRNA from 1 species
AUGAAUUGCUUAAGUUGGAACCGUCGAUGGGCGGGGAACCUUCGUACAGUUCCUGAUCUGGUAGCACUGGUUUGUGCUCAUUCCCCGAAGCUAGUAUUUUUGUGUGAAACUAGCAAAAGAGCCCAAAAAAUGCAACGUCUUCGUUCUCGUUUAGGCCUUGCUGGUUUUGAAGGAGUUAGUAGUGAUGGCCGUAGUGGUGGUCUAGCUCUGUUUUCGCAUGAUUCCCUA